rnacentral:rRNA from 1 species
AAGUCGUAACAAGGUUUCCGUAGGUGAACCUGCGGAAGGAUCAUUAAAGGAGCGGAGCAUAUCGAGUGAGGCCAGUGGGAGGCGGGUGAGGCGAGUGUGAAGCGUAAGCUGAGCGGGAGCCGAGCCGCCGAGCACACGCCGAACGACAGAUGCGGAGCGGAGCGUGGGUGGAUUGUAUGGUAUGGUAUGCUGAUGCGUACUCUAACCUGUCAACCUACGCCCACUGCUUGACCUGCCUUCGCGAGAGGGUGGCUGUAUACAACUCUAGAAUUAAACCAUACAAUACACAUGACUUUUAACAACGGAUCUCUGGGCUCCCGCAUCGAUGAAGAACGCAGUGAAGUGCGAAACGUAAUGCGAUUUGCAGCAUCUGUGAGUCAUUGAGUCUUUGAACGCACCUGGCACCGAGAGUGAUCUUGGUAUACCCCUUUGAGCGCAGGAUUGAAAGAGUUUAUGGAUGGCACUGAGGAGACUCUGUGCUGAAAGGAGUGUGGGGAGGGUGAUGGUAGGGCCGCAAGGCAGUGCGAAGGCACGGAAAUCAUCCAUACAAACCACAUACUAACCCUUUCGCCUCAGGGGGGCAGGAUUACCCGCUGAACUUAA